CUGANAUCUGUUCAACCUUGGGUGGCGUUUUUCACCAAAAGAAACCUGUUGCGGCGUAUGGUGAUUCAUAAACAUGCUGCCCAUCACGUCUUCUGAUGCGAAGUAUUCUUUAUUUUUUUGACCCAUCAUCUUUGGACGGGCGGGUAGUCCCCCACCGGGGCGACGACGGGAAAGGGGAAAUUUAGGUUUUUUUCCGGAGAAGGAGCCGGAAAAACGGCCCCCUCAUCGAAAGAAGGCAACAGGGCCCUCAAUUACCCAAUCCCGGCCCUGGGAGGUGACGAAAAAAAACAACAAAGAGGGGUUUAUCGGCUUGUCCUUGGAAUGGCGGGAAUUGAAACCUCUCCCCGAGUAUCUAUUGGAGGGGCCGUCUGGUCCCCGCCGCCGGGGUAAUUCCUGCUCCAAUAGCGUAUAAAAAAAUUGCUGCAAUUAAAAACCUCGUAGUUGAAUUUCUGCUGCAUUGUUUUUGCUCCUUUACAAAUUUUUGCGUUGGGGCUUAUUUCCUACUUUGUUUUACAAUGGCCGGAUGUUUACUUUGAAAAAAUUUGAGUGCCCAAAGCCCGCCUUCUCCCUUAAUUGAUUAACGAGGAAUAACUUGGGAAGUGCUUUCUUAUAUUUUGGUGUUUUUAACAACCAAAAUUUUGGUUACUAACAAUUGUUGGGGGUCUUCCCAACUGUUGUAAGAGGCAAUAUUUUGGUACUUAAAAACAACCAACUACUGCCAAAGUCUUUGCUUAUGAUUUCUUGCUUAACUAUUCACGGAGAUUGGGGGGAUUUGAGACUCUAAAUAUCUCUCAGUAUACAUACCGGACAUUGAUGAACAAAAGACGAUGUAAGUCAGCAUGUUUUUAACUACUUCUUCGAGCAUCAUGGAAAGCAACAAAAUUCUUCUGCUUAGGGGGGUAACUGGGACACAUGGAUAUACACUAAUAGGA
rnacentral:rRNA from 1 species